GACCUGAUGCAGCCAUGCCGCGUGUGUGAAGAAGGCCUUCGGGUUGUAAAGCACUUUCAGUUGUGAGGAAAAGUUAGUAGUUAAUACCUGCUAGCCGUGACGUUAACAACAGAAGAAGCACCGGCUAACUCCGUGCCAGCAGCCGCGGUAAUACGGAGGGUGCGAGCGUUAAUCGGAAUUACUGGGCGUAAAGCGCACGCAGGCGGUUUGUUAAGCUAGAUGUGAAAGCCCCGGGCUCAACCUGGGAUGGUCAUUUAGAACUGGCAGACUAGAGUCUUGGAGAGGGGAGUGGAAUUCCAGGUGUAGCGGUGAAAUGCGUAGAUAUCUGGAGGAACAUCAGUGGCGAAGGCGACUCCCUGGCCAAAGACUGACGCUCAUGUGCGAAAGUGUGGGUAGCGAACAGGAUUAGAUACCCUGGUAGUCCACACCGUAAACGCUGUCUACUAGCUGUUUGUGACUUUAAGCCGUGAGUAGCGAAGCUAACGCGAUAAGUAGACCGCCUGGGGAGUACGGCCGCAAGGUUAAAACUCAAAUG
rnacentral:rRNA from 1 species